GGCUCACUUGGUAGAGCAUGUGACUUCUGAUCACAGGGUUGUGAGUUUGAGCCCCAU
rnacentral:tRNA from 1 species